AUUGAACGCUGGCGGCAGGCCUAACACAUGCAAGUCGAGCGAGCGGCGGACGGGUGAGUAAUGUAUGGGGACUGCCCGAUAGAGGGGGAUAACUACGGGAAACGGUAGCUAAUACCGCAUACUAUCGGAUAACCCAUAUGGGAUUAGCUAGUAGGUGAGGUAAUGGCCGACCUAGGCGACGAGCCCUAGCUGGUCUGAGCGGGUGAUCAGCCACACUGGGACUGAGACACGGCCCAGACUCCUACGGAGGCAGCAGUGGGGAAUAUUGCACAAUGGGCGAAAGCCUGAUGCAGCCAUGCCGCGUGUGUGAAGAAGGCCCUAGGAUUGUAAAGUACUUUUGUUCGGGAGGCGUUAUCGACAGAGGAAGCAACGGCUAACUCCGUGCCAGCCGCCGCGGUAAUAC
rnacentral:rRNA from 1 species